GGUGAACGCUGGCGGUGCGCCUAAUACAUGCAAGUCGAACGAGAAGCUGGAUUUAUUCAGUGGAAAGUGGCGGACGAGCGAGUAACACGUAAGAAUCUGCCCCGUACUCAGGGAUAACUGGUCGAAAGAUCAGCUAAUACCGGAUGGUCUCGAAAGAGUAAAGAUUUAUCGGUACGGGAGGAGCUUGCGGACUAUCAGCUUGUUGGUGAGGUAAAAGCUCACCAAGGCUAUGACGGAUAGCUGGUGUGAGAGCAUGACCAGCCGCGAUGGGACUGAGACACGGCCCAUACUCCUACGGGAGGCAGCAGUAAGGAAUCUUCCGCAAUGGGCGAAAGCCUGACGGAGCGACACCGCGUGGUGGAUGAAGGCCUAUGGGUCGUAAACACCUUUUCUGGGGGAAGAAGAUCUGACGGUACCCCAGGAAUAAGCCCCGGCUAAUUACG
rnacentral:rRNA from 1 species